AACUUGUAUUGAGGACACUUUCUUAGAAGUUCUUUGAAUCGUUUCCAGGCUGCACACAGAGUCUCUCCAUCAGAUUGGAUGAAAUUGGUGAUUUCAUUCACCAACCU